rnacentral:tRNA from 1 species
GGACAGGUCGAAGAGUAGCGGCGGAUUUUCCUGCUGUGGCGUACAUUUUAACUGACGUACUGGGCAACCGGUACCGGGGGUUCGAAUCCCCCUCUCUCCG